GACGCCUACGGGGGGCAGCAGUGAGGAAUAUUGGUCAAUGGGCGGGAGCCUGAACCAGCCAAGUCGCGUGAGGGAAGACGGUCCUAUGGAUUGUAAACCUCUUUAGGCGGGGAGCAAUGCCGGGCACGCGUGCCCGGAGGGAGAGUACCCGCAGAAUAAGCAUCGGCUAACUACGUGCCAGCAGCCGCGGUAAUACGUAGGUGGCGAGCGUUAUCCGGAAUGAUUGGGCGUAAAGGGUGCGCAGGCGGUCCUGCAAGUCUGGAGUGAAACGCAUGAGCUCAACUCAUGCAUGGCUUUGGAAACUG
rnacentral:rRNA from 1 species